rnacentral:lncRNA from 1 species
UUGUAGUUGUAACAAUCUUCGCCGCCAUAUCUGCAAGCCAUGCAAGAGAAUUUCCAGGUUAAUCUCAUCCUCUCUAUUUUUUUUAAUUACUUACUAUUAUUUUAAUUUCAAGAAAAUAAUACUAAUAUUCUCCUAUUCUUUACUGUUUUUAAUCAAUGCAUGGUUCACAAUGAGAAUCUUCUUAAUUGUAAAAACUACCCAGAACUCUACUGUAACAUUAAUGUGCAUCUGUAUUAAAAAUCCAAACAUACACUCAGCAAAUAUCGUGAAUUCCUGAUAUACAACAUGAAUUUCACUGAACAUAUAAGUUAGUUUUUACAGUUCUCACAAUAAGAAGAGUAUUCAUUGAAUUUAAAAUCUUAUUUAAUUUUUUUUAGUUUCUAGGUUAUGCAGAUAAUGUUGGCGUUAGAGGAAAGUGCUUUUCUAAAGGACUAGACGGUGAUGAUUCAAUAAUAUCACUACCUAGAUUGGGAAAAUAUAUUAAUAUUUCCCGACCACCGUUACCGUCACCUCCACCACCUAGAUCACCUCCGGGACCCCACUCCCGCUUCGACUUCUCCGAUAAAUUCCUCCAAGAAGCUCUUCUUCAGAAAUUUCUUCAUUAAUAUAUGUUUAUCAAGUUGUGUAGGAUUUAGUAUUAUGUUUUGGUAGUUUGUGAAUUUGUCAAUGUGCUCAAACUGCUGGUUUAGUAUUAUGUUUUGGUAGUUUGUGAAUUUGUCAAUGUGCUCAAACUGCUGGUCUAGCUAUAUGUUACAUUAAAAAUGUGUGUGUUGAAAAUUGUGUAUGUUGAAAAUGAUGUAUCACCAACACUUAAUUUGUAAUUAAGUGUUAGUCAUCCCAGACUCUCAGCAUGGGUUUUACAUUAAUG